AUAGGAUACAGCUCUGUACACAAUCAUUUUCCUUCAAACCUAAAAAUAGCUCAAUAACACAUCAACAUCUCCAACUACACGACAGCCCACCAUUUCAAUGGCAAUUUCUCCUCAAAAUAACCAUUAUUUAGGAUGACUUUCAACUAAUCUUAUUGAUCUUUUUUGGCCUUCCCUUUCCCCCUUUUUUCGCAAAUCUUCAAACGACCCUUUCGAUAUUUUACCCCUUUUCUUUUUUGCAAAAUUUUGAAUUACUCAUCUGGUAUUUUGGCUUUUUGAUCACAAUUUGGAAACACCCAUUUGAUAAAGUUUGGUUCUUUUAGGAAAUAAUUCAACUAUACGGUUAAAAGUUUGCUGAAUCCAUGGCCGGCAUCGCUACCGCCGGCGACACCAGCACCAGUACCAGCAGCAACCUAGCGCCGACGAGGAGUUUGAGCAAGAAGGAAAAUCAGGGGCUUCUGUUGGGCAGGUAUGAAAUUGGGAAAUUACUAGGACAUGGUACUUUUGCUAAGGUGUACCAUGCUAGAAAUGUGAAGACGAAUGAGAGCGUAGCGAUUAAGGUGAUUGAUAAAGAGAAGAUCUUGAAAGUGGGUCUUAUUGAUCACAUAAAACGUGAGAUCUCAAUUCUCAAGAGAGUUAGGCAUCCAAAUAUAGUUGAAUUAUACGAAGUUAUGGCUACCAAAGCCAAAAUCUUCUUUGUCAUGGAGUAUGUCAAAGGCGGUGAGCUCUUCAAUAAGGUUGCCAAAGGCAGGCUUAAGGAAGAAGUUGCUCGGAAAUAUUUCCAGCAGUUAAUCUCUGCUGUCGCUUUUUGUCAUGCUCGGGGUGUUUACCAUAGGGACCUAAAGCCAGAAAAUAUACUGUUAGAUGAAGAUGGGAAUGUCAAAGUUUCUGAUUUUGGCCUUAGUGCCAUUUCAGAGCAGAUAAAGCAGGAUGGGCUCUUCCAUACUUUCUGUGGUACCCCGGCUUAUGUGGCGCCGGAGGUGUUAGGAAGAAAGGGUUAUGAUGCAGCCAAAGUUGACAUUUGGUCAUGUGGGGUGAUACUCUUUGUGCUAAUGGCAGGGUAUUUACCAUUUCAUGAUCAGAAUAUUAUGGCUAUGUACAAGAAGAUUUAUAGGGGUGAAUUUAGAUGUCCCAGGUGGUUUUCACCUGAAUUAACUCGGUUUCUAAAGCGCCUUCUUGAUAUUAAUCCCGAAACCAGGAUUACUGUUCAGGAGAUUAUGAAUAAUAGGUGGUUCAAGAAGGGUUUUAAACAUGUUAAAUUUUAUAUUGAGGAUGAUAAGUUGUGUAGUAUAAAUGAUGAUGAGUAUGGUGGGAUUGAUUAUUCGUCUGAUAGAUCAGAGUCUGAGUCUGAAAUAGAGAUCAGAAGGAGGUCAGCUAGUUUACCUAGGCCAGCUAGCUUGAAUGCAUUUGAUAUUAUUUCAUUUUCCCGUGGCUUUGAUUUGUCCGGUUUGUUUGAGGAGGGAGGAGAUGGGGCAAGGUUUGUAUCUGGGGCUCCUGUGCCCAAGAUCAUAAAUAAGUUGGAGGAAAUUGCUAAAGUUGUGAGCUUUGCAGUAAGGAAGAAGGAUUGUAAAGUGAGUAUGGAGGGGUCUAAGGAAGGUGCAAAGGGGCCGUUGACAGUUGCAGCUGAGAUAUUUGAGUUGACACCAUCCUUGAGAGUUGUUGAAGUGAAGAAGAAAGGAGGAGAUAGCUUGGAGUAUGAGGAGUUUUACAACAGGGAAUUGAAGCCAGGAUUACAGAAUUUAGCACAUGAAGUUGGAUACCCUGUUGAUUCAUCAUAUUUGCCAUCAGAUACUGAAUAAAGAGAGAAGGGGAAAGGGAACCACUGCAUUACAAAUUGAGCUUCUCAAUCUUGUAAGGCCAGUUAAUAAGGAGCAAUUCUGCUAAUAACAUCUGCACAAUAAUUUUUUAUUAACUACUCAUGGAGUUGAGCCACGGAUGCUUUGUGCACUGGGCCGUACUCAAAAGUUGUCCGAUCCUCCCCCCCAGCACAUAUGGUCUUCACAAUAUAAUGAGAAAAUAAAGAGAGUUCAAGUUUUUCUUUUCUUGUUUGGUUGUCGUGUCUGGAUUGGUCUGAUAGAAACGGGAAUCAUUCAUGAACUGUAAUCUGCUUUUUCAUUGCCAAGUUGAUCAAGGUAACUGUGGACAUCUUAGGGACAGUUGGAGGCUUCUUGCACUCAAACGGAGAUCUCCUGAAUACCAAAAAGAAGGAACACAUGCCAAGCUAGACUGAUGGAGCUUCAUGCUAGUGAACACUUGACAUGAGUUGAUGUUCGUAAUCAAGAUUUCACCACUUCAAUUCUAGCCAGCGAGAAACAUGGUUCGUAGUCUAAUUGUAUAUUAGUAGUCCCGUCAACAAGGCCCCUCCAGUUCGGGUUAGUUGAUGUAGUAGUACUUACUCAGAAAUUUGAAAAUGGCACAAGGAAUUGUCAAAGUCCAGUUUUAAAAUAUCAAAAAUAAAAAUAAAAAUUGCAAUAAUGUAUUUGGACCAUAGAAAAAAGAAUUAAGAAUAAAUCUGGACCACUGUGUAGUGAAUGAUUGAAAUUUGAAAGCUUUGUUUGUUGUCGUUAGACGUGAAAGCAGUUUCACUAGCUGUUGCUGUCAAACUUUUGUCCUCUUACCAAAAUUCUGAGGCUUGUUAGAUUAAAAGAAUCUAUAUCUGGUCAAUUUUAUUUUA